GUCAUAUUUCAGAAACAUAAUGGGACUAAAUACGAUGUUGUUAGGGUGACGACUGAUAAGGUCACUAUGUAGUCACUUUAUACGGCCAUCUCGGUUGACGUAAUAUUUUUCCACUGAUUUGUGAUAUGUUAUACUUUAUAGUGAAAUAGUGUAAACACUAAACUGUAAAGUAAUACCUAGUGUUUAUUGCGUACCUACUCAAAGGUGAAAACUGUUGUCUUGUUUGGUGUUACUGUCGUUAACCAUGGAUCAGUCAAGAGCCUGAAGCUGAUCUAUUAGAAAUAGGCAUUUCCUACAAUUCAAACUAUGUUGUGCCUAUUCUACCACCUCUAGUACAGAUCCAAGCAUUCUACAUUCAAUCGAUUAUUGAACCUGACGGCUGUCAUGGAGAGAAAACCAAUCGAGCGGUCUAUUGAAGUGUAUAUUCGUGGCCAGCAAAAUAAAAGUUACCUUUCAAAUGAUUGUCAGAAUAUUUUAAAGAAACUGAUUAUUAAUCAUUUGUUUCAAGAACAGUACAGAGAAAGCGAUUUUUAUUUUAGAAAAAUAUCAGAAUUAAUUGUAGAGAUAUUUCCAAAAAAAACUAUUUACUUCGUACCUGCCAGGAGUGAAGGUUCCAGUCAAACACACAGCAAAAGAAAGUUUGGGUACAAUUGAUUAUGAACGUGUGAAGAAAGUCGUUCCAAUUAUCUCUGAACAAUCUUUUUCUGAAAAUAUUGAACAUUCAAAGCUAUGGUUAAAAAGUGAAGGAUUACCUGCAUCAUUUGAUGCAUUUUUGAUUGAGAAAUGAAAAUUAACCUACCAAAUCCGUCAAGCUCAUGUUCUGAAUUUGUGUUGCCAUUUAUCAGCAAUAUUUGAAGGAUGGCCAUUUAUCCAAAGCCCUAAUGGAUACUUUUUAAUUCGUCCAAGAUUUUUGAAAACUGGGAUACAUUUUAUCGCGCCUGGUCAAACUUUUCUAAAUUUUUAGUGACAUUAAGAAGGGCCAUUAAAAAUAAAUAUGCCUGUUCUCUGCAGUUGGAUAACUCUGAAGUCAGUGGAAAUAUCAAAGUAUCUGAAAUCAUAAAGUUGUUACUGUUACCUUACUUCAUACCAAUUAAAACACAAAUUAAAAGUUCAAAAACUGCUAAAAAUUGGAAACCUUCAUUAGAAGAAUCAGCGUUUAGAUUUCUUUGUCACGUUACAAUGCUCGAUACAUUUUUGCCCGGAAUGAAAGCGAUGGACAAAGGACAUUUAGUCUUCUUGUCGUCGAUGGCUGGUAUAAUUGGCUUGAAGAACUUAGUGUCUUACUGUGCGUCCAAAUUCGCAGUGAGAGGUUAGUGGUUGUCAGUUUGGAACAAACAGUUAAUAAUAAUAUGUGGUCAUCAGUGCUCGAAUUGGAAAAAUAAAAGAAAGGGGACUCUUGGACUUUUUGUAUAUGGUCGACACCGGUCUGUGCAAGAAAGCUUUUUACAUACGCCCCAUUAUAUACCUACAACUAUAUGGGGUUUCUAGACGUUUACUGAUGAAACAAUUUUAAAUAAUUUUCCCAGCUGGCAGCUUGUUACCAUAAGUAACCGCUGAGUCGACGCAAAAGAAAUAAUAACCGCUAUUAGAAAGAACUUAUUUGAACAUUCCAUUCCGAGACCAUUGCUCACCUUCAAUAACAUAUUUAGGUGUUAUCCGUACAAAAUGGCAUUGGACUUAAAAGAUUUUAUGGGCAGUGGCAUUGGUGCACACAAUGAUUAAUUAUCAUUUAUUAAGCACGUAGAAAAAAAAAUUACACUUAAAUAAACAUAUUCAUAUUAUCCUAUACAGUUUGUAAAUUGUAUUAUAAUAAAUAUAU